rnacentral:rRNA from 1 species
GGGGGGGGGGGGGGGGGGGGGGGGGGGGGGGAGGGGGGGGGGGGGGGGGGGUGCCUGGGUGGUGGGGGUGGGUGAGUGGCGCACGGGUGGGUAACACGUGGGGAGCCGGCCCCCUGCUGCGGGAUAACCGCGGGAAAGUGUGGCUAAUACGGGGUAUGCUAGGUCUGUCGCAUGCUUUGUAUGGGAGAGAGAAUGUUUCGGUGGGGGAUUGGCUCGCGGCGUCUCAGCUUGUGGGGGGGGUGGUGGCCUACCGGGGCGGUGACGGUGAGCCGGCCGGAGAGGGUGUACGGUCACACUGGGACUGAGACACGGCCCAGACUCCUACGGGAGGCAGCAGUGGGGAAUAUUGCACAAUGGGCGCAAGCCUGAUGCAGCGACGCCGCGUGAGGGAUGGAGGCCUUCGGGUUGUGAACCUCUUUCGCCAGUGAAGCAGGCCUGCCUCGUUUGUGGGUGGGUUGACGGUAGCUGGAUAAGAAGCGCCGGCUAACUACGUG